UAGAUGGAGUUAGAGGGUUGAAAAGGGUUGUGGAGGAGAUGAGGAGGGAGAGGGAGCAGGAGAAGGAGAAAGAAAAGGAAAGGGACAAAGAAAAAGAAAUGAAACACAGCGACGAUGACGACAACGAACCAUUCCGCUCCCCCUCCUUACCCCCCCUUCUUCAUGCUCCGCACAGCCAACGGCGCCAGAGACACAAUAUCCCAUCCACAAUCUCUGGCACGCCCACAAUGACCCACCUCCCCAGCUCAACGCCAACCCGCAGCUCCCUCCCACCACAAGCACCACACGAUGGCUACUCCGCCAUCCUCGUCCCAGACUCCAUGCCACCCGCACCCCCAUCACCACAUCCCGACCAAACCGCUGCCGCCCACUGCGAAUUCCAAACCUCUCCGCCACAACUCCCCCGCUCCCCCAUAGCUCAACCCCCAGGAAAAUUCGAAUACGCGAAUAUAGAAAAGGCAAAAGAAGAUGAAGUCCAGGCUCCGCAACAGGGGCCUGGCGAAACUCUUGAAUCGUAUAUGGAACGCUGUCGGGUGGUGUUAUCGCGAUGUCCACGGGGUGAA
rnacentral:sRNA from 1 species